rnacentral:rRNA from 1 species
CGUAGGGUGCAAGCGUUAAUCGGAAUUACUGGGCGUAAAGCGUGCGCAGGCGGUUAUGUAAGACAGAGGUGAAACUCCCCGGGCUCAACCUGGGAACUGCCUUUGUGACUGCAUAGCUAGAGUACGGCAGAGGGGGAUGGAAUUCCGCGUGUAGCAGUGAAAUGCGUAGAUAUGCGGAGGAACACCGAUGGCGAAGGCAAUCCCCUGGACCUGUACUGACGCUCAUGCACGAAAGCGUGGGGAGCAAACAGGAUUAGAUACCCUGGUAGUCCACGCCCUAAACGAUGUCAACUGGUUGUUGGGUCUUUACUGACUCAGUAACGAAGCUAACGCGUGAAGUUGACCGCCUGGGGAGUACGGCCGCAAGGUUG